GGGUCAGUAGGUUGGUCGUGCCACCGGUACGUACUGGUCUCACUGAUUCCUCCUUCCUGAAGAACCGUAAUGCCAUUAAUUUGGUGUUGCGGGGAAACAGGACUGUUACUUUGAAAAAAUUAGGGUGUUUAAAGCAAGCUAGCGCUUGAAUACAUUAGCAUGGAAUAAUGAAAUAGGACGAUCGAUCCUAUUUUGUUGGUUUCUAGGAUUGACGUA
rnacentral:rRNA from 1 species